rnacentral:lncRNA from 1 species
UGCGUUUCGUGCGUAUUGUGUGUAGCUGCUUUUUGGCUUAAUAGCUCUUGGCGCCUGCUGCAGCUUUUGGAUUGCAUUUUUUUCUUUCAUUUUGUUUUAUUAUAAAUUGUUAUAUGUAUGGUGAAUGGAUAUAAUGAGUUGGUUUAAACAAAUGGGGCUUAAUUGUUAAAAUGGUUAUGAAUGGAUUAAUGGAAUUAUGGAUAUUGGCUCAUUUGGAUUUGUGUUUUGGAUUAUUGUUUU